rnacentral:rRNA from 1 species
AGAGUUUGAUCCUGGCUCAGAACGAACGCUGGCGGCGUGCCUAACACAUGCAAGUCGAACGUGAUCCAUCCUUCGGGGUGGUGAAAGUGGCGCACGGGUGAGUAACGCGUGGAUAAUCUGCCCGAGGAUUUGGGAUAACAUCUCGAAAGGGGUGCUAAUACCGAAUAAGCCCACGGGGUCUACGGAUCUUGCGGGAAAAGGGGGGGACCUUCGGGCCUCCUGUCCUUGGAUGAGUCUGCGUACCAUUAGCUAGUUGGUGGGGUAAUGGCCUACCAAGGGCGACGAUGGUUAGCUGGUCUGAGAGGAUGAUCAGCCACACUGGAACUGAGACACGGUCCAGACUCCUACGGGAGGCAGCAGUGGGGAAUUUUGCGCAAUGGGGGAAACCCUGACGCAGCAACGCCGCGUGGGUGAUGAAGGCCUUCGGGUCGUAAAGCUCUGUCUGGAGGGAAGAAAUGAUUGGGAGCUAAUACCUCUUGAUCUUGACGGUACCUCUGAAGGAAGCACCGGCUAACUCCGUGCCAGCAGCCGCGGUAAUACGGGGGGUGCAAGCGUUGUUCGGAAUUAUUGGGCGUAAAGCGCGUGUAGGCGGUCUUUUAAGUCUGAUGUGAAAGCCCCGGGCUCAACCUGGGAAGUGCAUUGGAAACUGGGAGACUUGAGUACGGGAGAGGAGAGUGGAUUCCUAGUGUAGGAGUGAAUCCGUAGAUAUUAGGAGGAACACCGGUGGCGAAGGCGGCUCUCUGGACCGAUACUGACGCUGAGACGCGAAAGCGUGGUAGCAAACAGGAUUAGAUACCCUGGUAUUCCACGCCGUAAACGAUGAGUACUAGGUGUUGCGGGUAUUGACCC